rnacentral:rRNA from 1 species
ACUGAAUAGAUACCCGGGUAGUCCACGCCGUAAACGAUGAAUACUUGGUGUUAGAGGUAUUGACCCCUCUAGUGCCGAAAGCUAAACGCGUUAAGUAUUCCGCCUGGGAAGUACGGUCGCAAGAUUAAAACUCAAAGAAAUUGACGGGGGCCCGCACAAGCGGUGGAGCAUGUGGUUCAAUUCGAUGCAACGCGAAGAACCUUACCUGGUCUUGACAUGUAUUGGAAGACUACCAGAGAUGGUGUCGCCUUCGGGCCGAUACACAGGUGCUGCAUGGCUGUCGUCAGCUCGUGUCGUGAGAUGUUGGGUUAAGUCCCGCAACGAGCGCAACCCUUGCCUUUAGUUGCCAGCAUUCAGUUGGGCACUCUAAAGGGACUGCCGACGUUAAGUCGGAGGAAGGUGGGGAUGACGUCAAGUCCUCAUGGCCUUUAUGACCAGGGCCACACACGUGCUACAAUGGUCGGUACAGAGAGAUGCUAAGUCGCAAGAUGGUGCUAACCUCCCAAAACCGAUCUAAGUUCGGAUUGGAGU